UGUGAUGUACAUUUCUUUUUUGAAGGUGCCACAUACUAAGAAAUUCUGUUCCAGAAGCAGCGAAUAGAGGCACCUAAGUUGACGCGGGGCGAGUCUGAGCAAAUUUCCACCUUUCCUGCCUGGUUUGGCUGCUCAUUUGGUGUCCAUCUCCUUGGCAGCUUCGCCGCGGGACGCCACCUGUUGACAGAAUGGCUGAGAGGUUCGGCAGCAAGAAAGCGGCUGUGGCUGGUGGCGAGGACCGCUUGAGCACGCUCCCAGAAGAUGUGAUCCGGCUGGUGUUGUCGUUCCUGCCCUCGCGUCAAGCCAUGCAGACGUGCGUGCUCGCCACCCGCUGGCGCACCCUCUGGAAGUCUGUGCCGUCUCUUGGCGUCGAUGCCGAUGAUGAGGCCUAUACCGGUGUUGCCAGGACCUGAAGUGUUUCAUCGAUAGCUUCCUUCGCUGCCGUGACCCAACACCUCUGCACGAAUGUGAGAUCCUUUUUGACGACGAUCGGGGCUCGGAGCAGUUUCACCAAGACUUUGAGCUGUGGCUCUGUUAUGCUGUGUCACACAAAGUGAGGGUUCUCCGAUUUGAAAUCCUAGCUGGCCGUGAUCCGUUGCAGCUAUCUGCCGGGGCUCUCGUCUCGGAGCACUUGACAACAUUAAUUCUUCGUUGUGUAGAGUCUGAGGAUUUCUCUCUGGAUGUGUCGGGCUGUCAGUCACUUGAGGUGCUGGAGAUGCACGAGUGUGUAAUCAACAUCGGGACUGUCUUACCAAAAUCCUUAAAACAUCUGACAAUCAGAGAUUCCCCGUGCCUUACUUCUGCGCCAGGUCUGGUUACCUUGGAAGUUGCUGACUGUCAUGGUUGGACUCCGUUGUUUAAGAGCUUGCCAUCACUAGUAGCGGCAUUUAUAAACACGAGAUAUGUCUUAAAGGGUUCUUGUGGAAAUAGUCUCAAUGGGUACGUACUGUGGUCAUGAGCUAUGUGUGGUAUGCCAUGGUAGAGCUGAUUUUGUGUUUCUUGAAGGUUUGUCGGGCGCUACGAAUUUAGAGUUGACAGCUGAAUACUUUAUGAUUUUCAGAACAGAUAUAGAAUGGUGCCCUAUGUUUAGCAGGCUAAAAACAUUGUUGCUCAGUGACUGGUGUAUGGCUCAUUACUUCCAUGGACUAGUUUUCUUUCUCAAGCACUCACCGAUUCUAGAGAGGCUUACCCUUGAACACUCUACUUUAUCUAAGCAAUGGUAUGGUGACACGACUGAAACCUGCAAGCCAAAGGACAAAUUCUUGGUAUCAAAACAUCUCAAGGCAGUCGAAAUCAAUCAUGUGAAAGAUGAUAAAAGGAUUCACCUAUUAUUGAAGGUCCUUGCUUUCCAUGGAGUAUAUUCGGAACUAAUAAACUUUAAAGAGAAGUAUACUUCUUAACGGCAACAGCUACAGCUGCCAGAGGUGCUUGAUUGUAUCCGCAGGCUUCAGUUUCCAGCACGAAUUGUAGUUCAGACCGUCUACUAUCGCUUCUCUUCCCAGACGCCCAUGUCCAUGAAUGGUUCACCAUAAGGUACUCUGCGUGUUGUCAGCUGAGAUCGCGCGCCUGCCCGUCAUGUGUGUUCACAUGAAGUAUGAGCUCCUACUGAUUCUGUUAUGUGGCUCACACAGAUGCCGUUGGGAAGGCUUAAACCCGGCCAUCGCGGUCCUAUUGCACGCUUGCUGGUGACCUCAACUCGGCCAGAGUCAGGCACUGAAGCCUGAACUGAUUAAAUUGUUGAAGUCCGACGUGUAUUUCCUUCUUUCUAGUACAGCUUGUAAUAGCAUCUGAAGACUACAAAGUAAACUUUGAUGACACCUGGAAAGCUGUUUUUGUUGCUUUGUGGUGAUUUUUGAGUUCCCC